rnacentral:lncRNA from 1 species
AAAAAUUGUCCGUGAAAGUGCAAUUAUGCAGAAAGGCAGAAAAAGGCCAGACAGAGUGGAAACCGUGUUGGAAGGCAAAGACUUAUUGCAGGAAUACUGUAUGUUUGGCUCAAAGCUAGGUCCUGGAAACAAUCUGAAAAAAAUCCUCUACAUCCUGAGAUGUCUGCUGUCUAAAUCUUGGGGCUUGCAGAGUGGGUUCACUCUUCCGCUCUUCUGCCAUGUGAGGAUGCAGUAAGAUGACCCUCAGCAGAUGCUGGUGCCUUGAUCUUGGACUUCCCAGUCUCCAGAACUGGGAUGAAAUGCUGUGAUGGGUUGCACGCCCACAUCACCACUCUGCUGUCGGGAGAAGAGGAAGGCACGUUCCUCCCAAACACAGGGACUGAAAGCAGUUCUGAAGGCUGAAGUCCAAGACCAGGGUGGCAGCAUGGUCAGGUCCUGGCGAGGGCCAUUUUCCGAUGAGAAAACUGAAGCUCAGAGACAGAAAACGAGGUCUUCAGACUCCAGGUCCAGAGUGUCAUCCCCCA